rnacentral:ncRNA from 1 species
CACUAUUUUGGUCCUGGAUAUACCAUUAUCUAUCUAAAGCCUUACACAUGCCAGUCUCCGCACCCCAGUGCCUAAAUUCAUAAACUGUAUAUCAGACAUGAAUCAGGUAUCAGGUACACCCAUACAGGUAGCCAACAACACCUAGCAUCGCCACACCCCCACGGAAUUCAGCAGUGACAAACAUUAAGCCAUGAGCUUAAGCUCGACUUAGCCAAAAUGAACUAAGGGCCGGUAAACUUCGUGCCAGCCACCGCGGUUAUACGGAAGGGCCCAAGAUAAUAUUCCCCGGCGUAAAGUGUGAUAAGAGAAAUAAACCUUUAAGAUUAUAGAAUUACAAUAAAGUAGUAAAAUACUUAUAACUGUAAGAACCCCAACCAUAAUCUACACUAAACCACCUUGACUCACGAAAGCUAGAACACAAACUAGGAUUAGAUACCCUACUAUGCUAGCCGUAAAUCCAAGCAAUUACUUACUAAUUUGCUCGCCAGAAAAUUACACGCGAAAGCGCAAAAUUCAAAGGACUUGACGGUGUUCCAUAUCAAUCUAGAGGAGCCUGUCCUAUAAUCGAUAAUCCACGCUAAACCUUACCCAUUCUUGCAAUAACAGCCUGUAUACCGCCGUCACCAGCCCAUCUAAUGAUAGAACAAACAUGGGCACAACUGCCCACCCGCCAAAACGUCAGGUCAAGGUGUAGCUAAUGAAUGGGGUGAGAUGGGCUACAUUUUUUAAAUUAAAAAUACGGAAAGUAACAUGAAACAUGAACUAUAAAGGUGGAUUUAGCAGUAAAUUUAGUAAGACAUACUAUAUUGAAAUAAGCUCUGGAACGCGUACACACCGCCCGUCACCCUCCUCAACAAAUUAUUUUAACCAUUAACUUAAAACAAUUAUUACAAUAAGAUGAGGUAAGUCGUAACAUGGUAAGCGUACUGGAAAGUGCGCUUGGAAAAA